UACGAAGGGUGCUAGCGUUGUUCGGAAUCACUGGGCGUAAAGCGCGCGUAGGCGGCUUGUCAAGUCAGAGGUGAAAGCCUGGAGCUCAACUCCAGAACUGCCUUUGAAACUGUCAAGCUAGAGUGUUGGAGGGGAUAGCGGAAUUGCUAAUGUAGAGGUGAAAUUCGUAGAUAUUAGCAGGAACACCGGUGGCGAAGGCGGCUAUCUGGACAACAACUGACGCUGAGGCGCGAAAGCGUGGGGAUCAAACAGG
rnacentral:rRNA from 1 species